rnacentral:rRNA from 1 species
UACACACCGCCCGUCACACCAUGGGAGUGGGAUUUACCAGAAGCAGGUAGGCUAACCGCAGGGGGGGCCGCCUGCCACGGUGAGUUUCAUGACUGGGGUG